GCUAAUACCGCAUAAUGUCGCAGGACCAAAGAGGGGGACCUUCGGGCCUCUUGCCAUCAGAUGUGCCCAGAUGGGAUUAGCUUGUUGGUGAGGUAACGGCUCACCAAGGCGACGAUCCCUAGCUGGUCUGAGAGGAUGACCAGCCACACUGGAACUGAGACACGGUCCAGACUCCUACGGGAGGCAGCAGUGGGGAAUAUUGCACAAUGGGCGCAAGCCUGAUGCAGCCAUGCCGCGUGUAUGAAGAAGGCCUUCGGGUUGUAAAGUACUUUCAGCGGGGAGGAAGGGGAUAAGGCUAAUA
rnacentral:rRNA from 1 species